rnacentral:tRNA from 1 species
AUCGGUCUAGUGUAAUGGUAGCACAGAGGUCUCCAAAACCUUUAGUCUGGGUUCAAAUCCUAGGGCUGGUG